AAAGUCGUAACAAGGUCUCCGUUGGUGAACCAGCGGAGGGAUCAUUACAGAGAAUCUCUUUUCUCACAAACCAUCGCGAACGUCAACCCCCCUCCGAUCGUUGCCUCGGCGGCCGGCGCCCUGCGGCGCCCCCGCCGGGGGGACGCAAAAACAGACUCUUGUAAGCAGCUUGGCCUCUCUGAGUUUUAUGAUUCUAAAUCAAUCAAAACUUUCAACAACGGAUCUCUUGGUUCUG
rnacentral:misc_RNA from 1 species